rnacentral:SRP_RNA from 1 species
UGCAGCCGGGGAGAUAGCGGUGCCCUGUACCUGCAAUCCGCUACAGCAGGGGUGAUGCUAAACUGAGACUUUCAUUUUGUAAGGCUGCCUCGUAAAAGUGGUGUUGACGGUUGGGUCUUACGCAACAGGAAUCUGUGAACCGUGUCAGGUCUUGACGGAAGCAGCACUAAGCAGAACCUCCUGUGUGCCGUAAGGGUGCCUGAUCAGAGCUAACUAUAUGAGUAACGCUUAUGGGUGAUUGGCGAAGGGCAGCGCAC